rnacentral:rRNA from 1 species
UACGUAGGGGGCAAGCGUUGUCCGGAGUUACUGGGCGUAAAGCGCACGCAGGCGGUCGAUUAAGUUUGGAGUGACAGUCGGUGGCUUAACUGCCAAAGUGCUUUGAAAACUGAUCGACUUGAGGGCUUCAGAGGGACACGGAAUUCCGGGUGGAGUGGUGAAAUGCGUAGAUAUCCGGAGGAAUACCAAAGGCGAAGGCAGUGUCCUGGAGGGUGACUGACGCUGAGGCGCGAAAGCUAGGGGAGCGAACAGG